GUCUACGGCCAUACCACCCUGAACGCGCCCGAUCUCGUCUGAUCUCGGAAGCUAAGCAGGGUCGGGCCUGGUUAGUACUUAGGUGGGAGAAUAAUCCAGUGAAUACUUUCUGUGUUUACU
rnacentral:rRNA from 1 species